rnacentral:siRNA from 1 species
CCCGCAAACUGAUGGACAAACUG